CCCUCUCCUUUCCCUCUCCUCCCCCCCCCCCCAGCCUAGUUUUUUUUCCCUCUCCCACCCCCAGGGUUUACCUUCUCUCUUUCUCUCCCGCACUUUCCCCUCCAAUUCCUGCAGCGAUUCCAACCGUAAGGCCCGGACUUUCUCACCAGUCACAGCUCUGACCACUGACAACCAAUCACAGUCAGGGUUGCUCGGGCUACAACCAAUCGGGAUCGGGAGGCGCACGCAGCCAAUCACAAUCAGACAAAUUGGGGCACAGCGGCCAAUCAGGAACGGGGAGGUUCGUGCGUUGAGCCAAUAAAAGAAAUCCUUCCUUCAUCAACCCCCAACUAACUGGAAAGGAUCAAGGUGAGAAUGUGAAGAGAAAGCAAGCGCCCAUGUUAAAGAGGGAAAUGCUGGGAGCCCUCCUCAGGACAGAGAGGAUGCUGCUGAAAUGAAAGUGCAAGACCUCGCAUUUGCUCAGCAUUGCUUUGCAUGACGUCAACUGAAGAUAUUACCUAGUAAGAUAACAAAAUGUCUGGAAAUGAACCUUUCAGCUCAGUGAGCAAACCUACAGCUGAAAGAUCUAAUGUGUGGAAAACAUCAGAAGACUACUUGAAGGAGACUAUGGCAGCCUUUGCUGACUACUUCCGCAGAAGCCACUGACACUGGCCAGACUUGAUUGGUAUUGCGUGUAUGGAAUGUGCUGCCAGAGGAAGUGGUGGAGGCUGAUAUCCACCAACCUAGCCAAAGGCAAAACAGGACUGCAACAAACUUCAAAAGGUGCAGCUGAAUAAAAAAGCAGGAAGGCUCUGAGGACAUGCUAAAAUAUCAGAACAUUUUAAGAGUAAAAAGAUCCUGGAAGAUGAGACUGCUAUGAAGGCAAGGAGACUUUGAUUACAGUGCUACAGAACGAGAAGUCUCUAAAGGGAAGGAGAAAGAACCUCUAUUGACUUCAAAGCUCAGCCACAAACAACAAGAAACACAGAAUUGGGAAUACUUUGACAACAAGAAGGAUAAACCUGGCCAGGUCAGUCAGGAGCAAUUGUCUGCAGGAAUGGCAAUUCUGGUUGGGUCAUUCCCAUUACCUCAACCAUUUAAUAACAUGAAAACCUCACAAUAAGUCCAGAAGUACAAACUUUGGAAGCAGUUGCAAAACUAUAUCACUUGCACUCUCUCACUCACUUUCAUUCCCUCACUCUGUCUCUUUCUCUUUCUCUCUCCCUCCUUCCCUGCCUGUUCACAAAAUAUUUGUAAAUUUCCAAUGGUACUAUUUUGCCAUUUUGAAUUUGUUCAUGGUAGCCAUUGUCUCAUCACAGCAAAACCUCCCCAAUGUGUUUCCUCCAAUUCCCCAACAAUAAAGACUAAUUCACCAUUGACUCUCCUCAUUCAUUAUUGGUUGUGUGGGAGAGAAAGAGAGAGAGAGUGUAUGUGCGCAUCACUGAGGGCAUAGUAGGCUAUGGACCAACUGCAGGUA